GACCAAAAAAAAGAAAAAUGAAAAAAAAAUAUUUGGGGUUUUCGGGCUUCCUGAUGGCAAUACCCGGGAAUCAGUUUCCGGGGCUUAGGAAAGGUUUAAGGUUUUUGGCGUUAGGGUUAAAAUCACUGUCCAAAACCUUUGUAGGAACUCUUUUCCAAGCUUUUGGAGUUAGUUACACCAAAAAAAAAUGAAAAAUGAAAAAAAAAAUAUUUGGGGUGUUCGGGCUUCCUGAAGGUAAUACCCAGGUAUUAGGUUAUGGGGCUAGGGUAAGGUUUUAGGUUUUUGGCGUUAGGGUUAAAAUCAAUGUCCAAAACCUUUGGAGGAACUCUUUUCCAAGCUUUUGG